rnacentral:rRNA from 1 species
GACGAACGCUGGCGGCGUGCUUAACACAUGCAAGUCGAACGGAAAGGCCCUGCUUGCAGGGUACUCGAGUGGCGAACGGGUGAGUAACACGUGGGUGAUCUGCCCUGCACUUCGGGAUAAGCCUGGGAAACUGGGUCUAAUACCGGCUAGGAGCCAUUUUUAGUGUGAUGGUUGGAAAGUUUUUUCGGUGUAGGAUGAGCUCGCGGCCUAUCAGCUUGUUGGUGGGGUAAUGGCCUACCAAGGCGGCGACGGGUAGCCGGCCUGAGAGGGUGGACGGCCACAUUGGGACUGAGGUACGGCCCAGACUCCUACGGGAGGCAGCAGUGGGGAAGAUUGCACAAUGGGCGCAAGCCUGAUGCAGCGACGCCGCGUGGGGGAUGACGGCCUUCGGGUUGUAAACUCCUUUCGCUAGGGACGAAGCUUUUUGUGACGGUACCUAGAUAAGAAGCACCGGCUAACUACGUG